rnacentral:rRNA from 1 species
GAUGAACGCUGGCGGCGUGCCUAAUACAUGCAAGUCGAGCGAACGGACGAGAAGCUUUCUUCUCUGAUGUUAGCGGCGGACGGGUGAGUAACACGUGGAUAACCUACCUAUAAGACUGGGAUAACUUCGAGAAACCGGAGCUAAUACCGGAUAAUAUUUUGAACCGCAUUGUUCAAAAGUGAAAGACGGUCUUGCUGUCACUUAUAGAUGGAUCCGCUCUGCAUUAGCUAGUUGGUAAGGUAACGACAUACCAAGGCAACGAUGUAUAUCCGACGUGAGAGGGGGAUAGGACACCCUACAACGGAACCAAGGUCCAGACUCCUACGGUAGGGAACGGAAGGGAAACUUACGCAAUGGGAGAAAGGAUGACGGGGCCCAGCCGCGCGAGUGAUGAAGGUAUUCGGAUAGUAAUACUAUGCUAUUAGGGAAGAAGAUAUGUGUAAGCAACUGUGCACAUCUUGACGGUACCUAACCAGAAAGCAACGGCUAACUACGUG